rnacentral:pre_miRNA from 1 species
CAUGUACUCCCUCCGUUCGGAAUUACUUGUCGUAGAAAUGAAUGUAUCUAGACAUUUUUUAGUUUUAGAUACAUUCAUUUCUACGACAAGUAAUUUGGAACGGAGGAAGUAUGUG